CAGGGGAUUGCAGUGGCAAAGCUAGGCUAGGUCUUGGAGGCUGGUGUAAGGCGAUGCGGGUGAAGGCAGGAGGCUGAUGGAAAGACUGGGGGGAAGAAAAGCCGAAAUGGAUUCACGGUGCCUUGGAUGAAGGACGAGAGGGGAACUGCAAGCUCCUUCAACUGGUUCUGUCCGGUGAGAAGUGAUCAAGCUUGGGCUGACAAGAGGCUCAGGGAGCCCUCACGUUCUUUCGCUUUUUUACCUGCCAAUCAAACUGCUACAAGACAACACCCUGAUCUGGCAUGGACAUCGCGGGUCCAAGCCUGUAGCCCCAAAUCGGAUAAUCUCUGCAGCUGAUAACAAGCAAAAGAGAAGCCAGGCAACAGCCAUAUUAAAGAAGAAAACAAUCAACUCUGAGUCAUUGCAGUCACCUGGAGUCGCGGAAAUGACCAUGAUUGCCUGAACUUUCAUAACUUCUGUGGUUGCAGAAAAGAGAAAACCUGGACUGUGAGGGACAUUUUACUCCCUGACCUUUGGUACAUGGUACAUGUGUGGUUGCAUGUGUGUUGCCAGAAAACAGCCUGCCAUGUCUGAGGCUAUGCUCCUGGACUAGCAGCCUGGGUUACAGGGGAAGAGCUGAAGCUGGGUUGGGGAAGUUUAAUAUACUAUACUUUUUUUUUAUUUUUUUACUUUUGGCUGAUAUUUAUCUAUUUAUUUAUUUUUAUUUUUUGUAGAGACAGGAUUUUGCCAUGUUGCCCGGGCUGGUCUCAAACUACUGAGCUUGAGAAGCUGCUUGCCUUGGCUUCCCAAAGAGCUAGGAUUAUAGGCAUGAGCCAUUGAGCCUGGCUCCUUUUAUUCUUUUCAUGACACUACCUCUUCCUAGGAGAGG
rnacentral:sRNA from 1 species